GAUGAAGAACGUAGUGAAAUGCGAUAAGUAAUGUGAAUUGCAGAAUUCAGUGAAUCAUCGAAUCUUUGAACGCACAUUGCGCCCGUCAGUAUUCUGGCGGGCAUGCCUGUUCGAGCGUCAUUACGCCCCUCAAGUCCCCUGUGGACUUGGUGUUGGGGAUCGGCGAGGCUGGUUUUCCAGCACAGCCGUCCCUUAAAUUAAUUGGCGGUCUCGCCGUGGCCCUCCUCUGCGCAGUAGUAAAACACUCGCAACAGGAGCCCGGCACGGUCCACUGCCGUAAAACCCCCCAACUUUUUAUAGUUGACCUCGAAUCAGGUAGGACUACCCGCUGAACUUAAGCAUAUCAAUAAGCGGAGGA
rnacentral:misc_RNA from 1 species